rnacentral:lncRNA from 1 species
GCCGGAGCAGCGGGGAAAUGUAGCCCCUUCCCUUUCCCCUUCCCCUUCGGCGGCUGGAAGGCAGAAGUCGCGCUGUCACAUGGCCCCCGGCCGGCGCGGCAGGCAGGCAGGGAGGGAAGGCGGGGAGGGAGCCCAGCCCCACCUGGAUUCGCCUCAGCGGUGCCGCCUUCCCGAGCGCCUGGUUCAAAACUCCUCGAAAAGCGCUUUAACGUAGAAAACUUGGGUUCGAGACCAGAAAGUCGGGAGGUUAGUGCAGAAUGACAGCCGUAACUCUGAAUGUCUUCAUCAGCUGCUGCUGGCAACACCCUGACAAAGUAUCUGCCACCCAGAAAACCACAUACUCUUGGCACAUCAGUCUUGCCUCUGUACUCGAUUUAAUCUCUUCUGUGGGAUGCAAGAGCUUGGCAGAGUUCCCUCCCGUGCUGACUUUGUGCCAACCGCAGUGA